rnacentral:rRNA from 1 species
UCAAUAAGCGGAGGAAAAGAAACCAACAGGGAUUGCCCUAGUAACGGCGAGUGAAGCGGCAACAGCUCAAAUUUGAAAUCGGCCCACCGGUCGAGUUGUAAUUUGCAGAGGAUGCUUCUGGGCAGCGGCCGGUCUAAGUUCCUUGGAACAGGACGUCAUAGAGGGUGAGAAUCCCGUAUGCGACCGGCGCGCACCCUCCACGUAGCUCCUUCGACGAGUCGAGUUGUUUGGGAAUGCAGCUCUAAAUGGGAGGUAAAUUUCUUCUAAAGCUAAAUACCGGCCAGAGACCGAUAGCGCACAAGUAGAGUGAUCGAAAGAUGAAAAGCACUUUGGAAAGAGAGUUAAAAAGCACGUGAAAUUGUUGAAAGGGAAGCGCUUGCCACCAGACUUGACGGCGGGGUUCCGCCGGUCUUCUGACCGGUCCACUCCCCGCCGGCAGGCCAACAUCGUCUGGGGCCGCCGGAUAAGACGUUAGGAAUGUAGCUCCUCGGAGUGUUAUAGCCUCUCGUGAUGCGGCGCGCCCCGGGCGAGGUCCGCGCUUCGGCAAGGAUGUUGGCGUAAUGGUUGUCAGCGGCCCGUCUUGAAACACGGACCAAGGAGUCUAACAUCUAUGCGAGUGUUCGGGUGUCAAACCCCUACGCGUAAUGAAAGUGAACGGAGGUGGGAGCUUCGGCGCACCAUUCGACCGAUCCUGAUGUCCUCGGAUGGAUUUGAGUAA